rnacentral:rRNA from 1 species
AGCUCCAGUAGCGUAUAUUAAAGUUGUUGCAGUUAAAAAGCUCGUAGUUGGAUUUCUGGCCUGAUUUGCUUGGCCCGCUUCUUUUCGAAGUGAGUGCUGCUGUGAAUCUACCAUCCUGUUGGAGUACUUUUCUACCCUUCACUGGGCCGGAUUUGGUGUUCCAACUCUUUUACUUUGAAAAAAUUAGAGUGUUCAAAGCAGGCGUGAGCGAUGAAUACAUUAGCAUGGAAUAAUAAUUUAGGACUUCGCUCCUAUUUCGUUGGUUUCUAGGAAUGAAGUAAUGAUUGAUAGGGAUAGUUGGGGGUGCUAGUAUUCAGCGGCCAGAGGUGAAAUUCUUGGAUUCGCUGAAGACUAACUUAUGCGAAAGCAUUCACCAAGGAUGUCUUCUUUAAUCAAGAAC